UACGAAGGGGGCUAGCGUUGCUCGGAAUUACUGGGCGUAAAGCGCACGUAGGCGGCUCUUUAAGUCGGGGGUGAAAUCCCGGGGCUCAACCUCGGAACUGCCUUUGAUACUGCAAAUCUCGAGUCCGAUAGAGGUGGGUGGAAUUCCUAGUGUAGAGGUGAAAUUCGUAGAUAUUAGGAAGAACACCGGUGGCGAAGGCGGCCCACUGGAUCGGUACUGACGCUGAGGUGCGAAAGCGUGGGGAGCAAACAGG
rnacentral:rRNA from 1 species